UACGAAGGGGGCUAGCGUUGCUCGGAAUUACUGGGCGUAAAGCGCACGUAGGCGGUUUGUUAUGUCGGAUGUGAAAGCCCUUGGCUCAACUGAGGAAGUGCAUCCGAAACUGGCAAGCUAGAGUAUGUAAGAGGGUCGCGGAAUUCCCGGUGUAGAGGUGAAAUUCGUAGAUAUCGGGAGGAACACCGGUGGCGAAGGCGGCGACCUGGGACAAUACUGACGCUGAGGUGCGAAAGCGUGGGGAGCAAACAGG
rnacentral:rRNA from 1 species